rnacentral:rRNA from 1 species
AACUAACGCUGGCGGCGUGCCUAACACAUGCAAGUCGUACGAGAAAGUUGGCUUCGGCCGAUGAGUAAAGUGGCGCACGGGUGAGUAAUGCGUGGAUAAUCUGCCCUUUAGUUGGGAAUAACGUACCGAAAGGUGCGCUAAUACCUGAUAAUACUGCAUAACUACUGUUGUGUAGUCAAAGAAGGCCUCUGUUUACAAGCUUUUGCUGAAGGAUGAGUCCGCGUACCAUUAGCUGGUUGGUGGGGUAAUGGCCUACCAAGGCUACGAUGGUUAGCUGGUCUGAGAGGAUGAUCAGCCACACUGGAACUGAGACACGGUCCAGACUCCUACGGGAGGCAGCAGUGAGGAAUCUUGCGCAAUGGGGGAAACCCUGACGCAGCAACGCCGCGUGAGUGAGGAAGGCCUUCGGGUCGUAAAGCUCUGUCAGUGGGGACGAAGGAAGUGACGGUACCCCAAGAGGAAGCCCCUGCUAACUACGUGCCAGCAGCCGCGGUAAACUACG